ACGGUUGAAUUACGCAUCAUGGCGCGUCAGCCUUAACGCCCUAACUAACUAGAAAUAUCUUAUGAGAAGAAAGAGCUUUCUUUCUAUAUUGGUAAAAUUUAUUUAUGCCCGCAGAAUUUGUAGGGUUAUCGCCCGAUAAUGUUAAAUUGAUUCAAAAUAAGGUGAAGACUGGUAAGUAUACUCUGUCUCCAUUUCCACUUAAAAGUAUUUUCUAGUAAAGAAAAAGCACCUAAGAAUACAUAUUUUAUUCAUAUUAAUAUAGAUAAAUCAACAGUUUAUGGAUGUUUAUAUCCUAUUCUGGAAGAUAAUAUUGUUAUUACUGCGCUUGGGC
rnacentral:lncRNA from 1 species